GCCGGGUAUGGUGGCACGUGCCUGUAAUCCCAGCACUUUGGGAGGCUGAGCGGGGCAGAUCACUUGAGGUCAGGAAUUUGCGACCAGUUUGGCCAACUUGGCAAAACCCCAUCUCUACUAAAAAUACAAAAUUAGCCGGGUAUGGUGGCACNNNNNNNNNNGUUUUGCCAAGUUGGCCAAACUGGUCGCAAAUUCCUGACCUCAAGUGAUCUGCCCCGCUCAG
rnacentral:SRP_RNA from 1 species